AGAGUUUGAUCCUGGCUCAGAGCGAACGCUGGCGGCAGGCUUAACACAUGCAAGUCGAGCGGGCCCUUCGGGGUCAGCGGCGGACGGGUGAGUAACGCGUGGGAACGUGCCUUCUGGUCUGGAAUAACCCUGGGAAACUAGGGCUAAUACCGGAUACGCCCUUUUGGGGAAAGGUUUACUGCCGGAAGAUCGGCCCGCGUCUGAUUAGCUAGUUGGUGGGGUAACGGCCUACCAAGGCGACGAUCAGUAGCUGGUCUGAGAGGAUGAUCAGCCACACUGGGACUGAGACACGGCCCAGACUCCUACGGGAGGCAGCAGUGGGGAAUAUUGGACAAUGGGCGCAAGCCUGAUCCAGCCAUGCCGCGUGAGUGAUGAAGGCCUUAGGGUUGUAAAGCUCUUUUAUCCGGGACGAUAAUGACGGUACCGAG
rnacentral:rRNA from 1 species